GACGAACGCUGGCGGCGUGCUUAACACAUGCAAGUCGAGCGGUAAGGCCCUUUGGGGGUACACGAGCGGCGAACGGGUGAGUAACACGUGGGUGACCUGCCCUCAGCUCUGGGAUAAGCCUGGGAAACUGGGUCUAAUACUGGAUAUGACCUUUCCUCGCAUGGGGGUUGGGUGGAAAGUUUUUCGGCUGGGGAUGGGCCCGCGGCCUAUCAGCUUGUUGGUGGGGUGAUGGCCUACCAAGGCGACGACGGGUAGCCGGCCUGAGAGGGCGACCGGCCACACUGGGACUGAGACACGGCCCAGACUCCUACGGGAGGCAGCAGUGGGAAUAUUGCGCAAUGGGCGGAAGCCUGACGCAGCGACGCCGCGUGGGGGAUGACGGCCUUCGGUU
rnacentral:rRNA from 1 species